rnacentral:rRNA from 1 species
AACGAACGCUGGCGGCAGGCUUAACACAUGCAAGUCGAGCGCCUCGCAAGGGGAGCGGCAGACGGGUGAGUAACGCGUGGGAAUCUACCCAUCUCUACGGAAUAACGCAUGGAAACGUGUGCUAAUACCGUAUACGUCCUUCGGGAGAAAGAUUUAUCGGAGAUGGAUGAGCCCGCGUUGGAUUAGCUAGUUGGUAGGGUAAAGGCCUACCAAGGCGACGAUCCAUAGCUGGUCUGAGAGGAUGAUCAGCCACACUGGGACUGAGACACGGCCCAGACUCCUACGGGAGGCAGCAGUGGGGAAUAUUGGACAAUGGGCGCAAGCCUGAUCCAGCCAUGCCGCGUGAGUGACGAAGGCCCUAGGGUUGUAAAGCUCUUUCACCGGUGAAGAUAAUGACGGUAACCGGAGAAGAAGCCCCGGCUAACUUCGUGCCAGCCGCCGCGGUAACAC